rnacentral:rRNA from 1 species
CAGUAGCCGCGGUAAUACGAAGGGGGCUAGCGCUGUUCGGAUUUACUGGGCGUAAAGGGUGCGUAGGCGGCUUGACAAGUCUUGUGUGAAAUCUAUGGGCUCAACCCAUAGUCUGCACGGGAAACUGUCGGGCUUGAGAAUGGGAGAGGUGAGUGGAAUUUCCGGUGUAGCGGUGAAAUGCGUAGAUAUCGGAAGGAACACCUGUAGCGAAAGCGGCUCACUGGACCAUUUCUGACGCUGAUGCACGAAAGCUAGGGAAGCAAACAGGAUUAGAUACCCCCGUAGUCCCUGUCUCUUAUAC